UGAGAUCGAGUCCAGGUGGCCGAGUUGCUAUGGUUACCGGGGACGUGGCUGUGGCUGCUGUCAAUUUUAGUUUAAUGAAUCACCGUUAGAUGGCCUUUAAUUUCCAUUCCCUCGAAUUAAUUAAGAUCAUUUCCGAAUUUUUGAAUAUUGACGCUAAUUAAAAUCAAUGGCCACACUAAAUUAAAAUCAAUCGCACACCUAAAGAGAAAUAAAAAGCUCAAAAAUAUAGGAAAGCAGUAAUAGUCACAAAUUUGUUGUAUAAAGAUGUAUAUUUUUCGUAAUUAGACAUGAGUUAUAUCACCCAAUGAAAUUUAUUUCAUAAUGAGAAGUAUUAGUGGCAAUUUGGAUUUCAAGCAAUGACUUCA